GUUUCCGUAGGUGAACCUGCGGAAGGAUCAUUACCGAGUUCUCGGGCUUCGGCUCGAAUCUCCCACCCUUUGUGAACGUACCUCUGUUGCUUUGGCGGCUCUUUGCCGCGAGGAGGCCCUCGCGGGCCCCCCCGCGCGCUUUCCGCCAGAGGACCUUCAAACUCCAGUCAGUAAACGUCGACGUCUGAUAAACAAGUUAAUAAACUAAAACUUUCAACAACGGAUCUCUUGGUUCUGGCAUCGAUGAAGAACGCAGCGAAAUGCGAUAAGUAAUGUGAAUUGCAGAAUUCAGUGAAUCAUCGAAUCUUUGAACGCACAUUGCGCCCCCUGGCAUUCCGGGGGGCAUGCCUGUUCGAGCGUCAUUACAACCCUCAAGCUCUGCUUGGUAUUGGGCGCCGUCCUCUCUGCGGACGCGCCUUAAAGACCUCGGCGGUGGCUGUUCAGCCCUCAAGCGUAGUAGAAUACACCUCGCUUUGGAGCGGUUGGCGUCGCCCGCCGGACGAACCUUCUGAACUUUUCUCAAGGUUGACCUCGGAUCAGGUAGGGAUACCCGCUGAACUUAAGCAUAUCAAUA
rnacentral:rRNA from 1 species